CUCCAGAGGAGUUUGCGAGCACCGACUUGUGUCUAUAAGUAGGCCAAUGGGGGAUUGCGAAAGCCGCACGUGGAGCCUGUAGGGAUGGAAACGAUAGGACCUAAUCCAGCAAGUCAAGGCCUGAAUCUGGAAGAGAACCCAGAGGCUAGAAUCCUCCAAAUGUUAUUCGCGCAUGAAUGUUGUGGGAACUGGACCAGUCAAGAAGCAGCAAAUGAUACUCAGAGAGUGGAAGAAUUCAAACUUAGUUUAUUUUUUUGGUACUGAAGAAUGAAUCCAGGGGCACUUAACUACUGAGCCACAUCCUCA